GCAGGUGUUGCUCAAGUGGUAGAGCACUUGCCUAGCAAGCAUGAUGCUCUCAGUUUUGACACUAGUACUUGCA
rnacentral:tRNA from 1 species